AACCCAUGGUGAAGACAUAUUCUUAGCAAAUCCUUAUACCUCUCCCAAGCUUCAUAUAAUGUUUCAGAGUCAAGUUGCACAAAAAAGGUGAUAUCAUUACGUGUUU
rnacentral:snoRNA from 1 species